rnacentral:lncRNA from 1 species
CAAUUGUCAGUUUGAUGCACCUAGACUAGAUAAGGAGUUUUCUAUAAACAAAAUCACAUUUUCACCUUUUUAUAAUACCUAUUUAUUUUAAUGUAUAGUCUUAAUAUACUAACUAACUAUAGUGCUUUUCAAAUUCAUAGAUAUAAUGUGCUCGUAUGUACUAUAGGGAUGCAAUGUCAAUUGAAAAAUAACUUAAUGUCUAAACAUAUGUCUUUUAAUUUUUAGUCUUCUCUUAGAAGAAAUAUCACUUUUAAUUUAGUGAAUACGUUAUAGUAUAUAUAGUGACAAAUAUAUAAUUAUCUUUCUAUUUCAUGGACAUAACAAAUGCAUAAUAUGUUAGGGGUACAAAAUUAAAGUAGUCUUUAUGUGUAUAAUGACCCCGUAUGUUGUCAUAUUUUUUUUACUGUUAUAAAUGAAGCAGAGGAGAUUCACUUUAUAGGUAGGAGGCAUUCCAAUAUUUAAUUUCAUAUUUAUUUUUGAGAGAGAUCUGAAUUUAAAGUCUAAUUUAAAUUAAAAUAUAUUUCUAUCAAAUGCUAAAUCUAUGAAUAUACAUAUAAUAUAUUUUAAAUCAAAAUAGAUUAUCUAAUAAUAUUAAGAUGAUGCGAUUGUUUACAUUUUGAUGUAGAAUUCAAAUUUAAAAGAUAAGACUAAAAGAAAACCAACAAUUCAAGUUCUUGUUGGCAUGUGAGGUUAAAUUUUUCCUUCCACUCCAUCAUUAUCUAAGUCUUCAAAAUCAUCCAUAUUUUUCCAAUCUUUUUAUUUUUAGUUGUUAAAAUCUAACUUUCUUUUCCAUGGUUGAACUAAGACUAAUCAAUGUAAAAUACUAGCUAAAAGAAAAUGAAGAAUAAGUUUAAGUAGUCAACAUGGGGAAAUACCUAAAUUAGUUGUGCAUAAAUUUCUCUUCAAAUUAAUCAUUUUGCAUAAGUAACUAAAAAAAAGAACGAAAGCUUUUUGUACCAUACUCAUUAUUCCUUAACUAUGUAUGAUAACUUAAUUAAUAGUGAUUGAUAGAGCAUAAUACAAUAAUGUAAUCCACUAAAUAAUAGAAUAAAUGAGAUAAUAAAAUGUAAUGUAUUUAUCAUUCCAUUAUCAUGUUUGAUUAUAAUAUAUAUAUAUAUAUAUAUAUAUAUAUAUAUAUAUAUAUAUAUAUAAUUUAUUUAUAAUAGUUGGUGUAAAAAUAAAAUAUUAAAAUAAAAUAUUUAAAAAUAAUAUUAAGAUUAUUCUUUUCUUAAAAUAUCACAUGUCGCUGGAAUGCGUUCACUAGUGUCUAGAAUUCAGUUAUCGAUCGAUGGGAUCCGAUGGUCAGUCGCUGGAAUUUAGUAUCUGAUUACCGGAUGAUGGUGGUUGGUGGUGGUUAAAGUGUCUAAAUUAUAUUGAUAAAAAAUAAAUAUAAAAUAAAUAUAUUAUAAAUAAUUAUGAUUACAUAGAUUUUUUUUUAUGUAUUAAACAUUACAUCAAAUUAAGAAUAAUUGAUUACAUGAUGUAUAUAUAAUUACAUUGCAUCAAAUUUUUUUAUUAACAAACAAAGUAAUGAAGCAUGUAAAUAUAAUCUAAAUUUUUUAUCUUUACAUGUAACAAUAUAUUUCCAUAGUUAGAGCAUUUCUAAUGGUGCUAUUUAUUUUAAAAGACCAUAGUUUUUAUGAUAAAAAAUAUUCUAAGAAAUAUUAAAAUAUAAAAAAUAAUAUAUUUUGUUUAAGUUUAAUGCCUUCCUUAUAUUUUAUUUUACUUUUGUUUCAAUAAGUAUUAAUAAUUGUACUUUUUUUAUUUUUAUAUUUUUAGUAAUAGAAAAAUGAGAAUUACAAAUUUCAAUUAAUUAAAUGAAUAGAACUUCUUAAUGUAUUUAUUAAAUAUAAAGUAAAAAAUAUUUAAUUUUUUUAUGUAUAGAAAGCCAAAUCAACUAUUUACUUUAUAUUUAAGAAAUAAAGACUGUUUGAAGCGUUAUUUUAUUAUAUAUUUUUUAAAAUAAAAAAUUAAUAUAUAUAAAAAAUGUAUUAGAAAUAUUAUCAUGAUAGGUAUAGAGCUCCUUCUCAAGCCAUUUUAAAGGUUUUUGGGUGAAUUAAUCAAGGUGCAAAGCACCAACUCUUCUAUAUAUUUGUCAUGAUGCUACAACAAUGUCAAUACUACAUCAUGGUUUUGCCUAUAAACAACACAGCAUCGACAACUAACCUCAACAUGCAUGUGGGAACAAUCGGCUAAGGAUGGGAGCUCCUUUGACUACAUCUACACAUAUACCCAUAAAUUAUUUGAUUAUAUAUUAUUAUAUACUCCAUAUAUUAUUAUUUUUUAAAUGUUUUUGUAACUUAUCAUCAUAAAAGUCAUUGAUCAAGACCCAAUUUUCUAGUGCUAUGUAUAUAGAUUGAAUCUGAGUAAUUUAUCUUCUACAUUAUGACUUCUUUAUAAUUAUAUUUUAUAUAGAAAUAGUUAUAUUAUAUUAAAGUAAUUUAAAAUAAUAAUAUAUUUUCAAAUUAUUACUGCAUCUUUAAAUUUACACAAGUAAUAAUUUACUAGUAUGAACGCUAUUUUGUCGUUAAUAAGAAAAUAAUAAUUCUUGUAAUUGUUUUUAUAGUAAUAAAAUUAAUUUAAUUUCAAAAAUAUAAUUAUAGAAGUUGUGAUGUAUGUAGAAAAAGUAGGGCCAAAAUUCCUCAUAAUUUUGUGAUCCAAUAAACAUAAGAAAGAAAGGAAGAAACUUCUGACACCUAACAUAUGUUGUCAAGAUUUCUGAUGGGUAAUAAUUGAAAACAUCAAUGGAAAUAAGUGAAUUCCAGUGGGGAGUAGGUACUUAAAUUCUAAAUAUAAAACUCCAUUUUUGUGGGCUCCAAAAUAAAGAUCAAUGAGUGUAAGUCCGUUCAGUAUUUUGCGUAUAAAAAUGUACACACAAACAAGUAUUUCCCUAGGACAGGCUUUUUGGAGGCUCUAGGGGGAGGGCUGAUCCUUGGUGCUGGAGUAGUAUGAUUAGAGGUAGAGAUGUGCUGCAAAGAGGUUUGAGAUGGAAUACUGUGAGUGGUGAACAAAUUUCUUUAUGGACAGACAAGUGGAAUCCGGAUGUGAAGGAGUUCAAAGUGUCCUCUAUGCCGCCAACAAAUGGGGGUCCAACAAGAGUAGCAGAGCUUAUUGAUUGGGGUCGUAGAUCUUGGAAUGUGCCUCUAAUGGAAUAAUUCCUGAAUCAGGAAGAUAUCAGUGGUAUAUCAAAAAUUCGAACCGGUGCGAGGCACCUCCCUGAUAGGCUCAUCUGAUUCCCAGAUAAAAGAGGCAUUUUUUCAAUCAAAUCUCGUUAUAAUCUCUUGGCUAACUCUCGUCCUCAGAAUUUAGACCCUUCUCCUUCAAAUGUCAUCCACUCCGAUAAAUUGAUUUGGAAAUCAAGCUGGAAACUCAAAGCCAAUCCUAGAGUUAAAACUUUCACGUGGCGUGCAGUCUGCAAUGCUCUCCCAUCUUUAGCAGCCUUGAAGCACAUGAAAUGCAUUAGCUCGGAGUAUAUGCUUGUUGUGUGGGAAGAUUAAUGAGACUAUAGAGGACCUCUUAUUUUUUUUUGUGAUCAAGCAACUCCUACGUGGUUUGCUAGCCCUAUGCAGUAUAGACCCAAUCCAAUUGGGUUUGGCAGUCUGCAAGAAUGGUGGCGCAAGAUGGUGGAAUUUGACGAAGAAGAUAGAGCUGAUAAUUCAUUGUCCAUUAUAGCAAAAAUUUGCUAGUAUAUUUGGAAAAGUAGAAACGGUUUUAUGUUUGAAAAGCAAGUUCCAAAUCCAAUCUGGAAUUGUAUCUAGAGCUCAAGAGUAUAUGAAAGAAGCGGAAAGUCCACAAAUUACUGAGAGCGUCAGUGAGAGAAUGAAUGUGAAUCACUAUGUUGUUGUUGCAAGUAAUCGGGCUCCUCCUCCACUGAAUUACAUCAAAAUUAAUUGUGAUGUUUCCUUUAUCAAGGAAGGUUAUAUGUUAGGAUAUAGUGUUGUGUGUCGUGAUCAUAGGGGGAGAAUAGUUGAUGGUUGUGUUGGAAGGCAAGGGUUUAGUUCGGUCCUGCAGGGGGAAACGAGAGCUUUAGUGGAAGCCAUGCUUUUUGCUGUGUCCAGAAAAUUUAAACAGGUCAUUUUCGAGACUGACUCUUUUAUGCUAGUGCAAGCCAUUCAGAGCAGAGACACGGAGAUCAUUUGGGCAAUUGAAGCCGAUGUACUCUUCAUUAAAUCUUUACUGCUAUUCAACUCCUCCUAGAGUAUUUUGUACAUCAGUAGAACUGCUAAUUCUGUUGCGGAUUGGUUGGCCAAACAAACUAGGCUAUAUGUUUGCCCUGUGUGGCAAAUCAAUCCCCCAAUGGCAUUCUUAUCUCUACUUUCCAGGGAUUUUUAUUUUGUGCAGUAAUACAUCUUCUGUUGGUUAAAAAAAACAAGAAGAAAAACAAGUCAAACAAGAAAAGCCUCGGGCGCAAUGCCAGCCGUAUAAUUUUGAAAUGCUUUUUCCCCGUCGAUUCACUCUCCUCCUCCACUCUACUAAUAUCUAUAUAUUAUAAUAUUUAAUUUGGUAAUUGCGAAUUCAAUUCUGUUCCUUCAUGACUCAUUUGAUAUUUGGGGUUCAAGGAUGAAAAGCAAAAAAUUGUUUUCUUAAAAAAUAUUUAAUUAAAGGUUAAAAUUAUAUUUUAUUAUCUCCAACAUGAGUUUUCUUUUAGAAGGUAUUAUUUUUUAUAUUUUAAUUUAUUCUAGUUUAGAAUAUAAAUUCUCUUCUGCUAUUUUUAUUUUUAAAAUACAAACAAAUAAUUUAAAUUUUUUUGAUUUAUACAUUAAUCUAAUUUAAUUUUUAAAUACAUAUCAAUUUAAUCACUAAUUACUUUCUACAUCUCAUACUGAUUCUUAUUUUAGUAAUUUAUUUAAAUUAAAAAAUAUUUAAUACAUUUAAUUAUAGAAAAAUAGAUAAAUUAUAUCCCAUUACUUUUCAUAGAUAUUGUAAAAUUUAAUAUUAUUUUAAAUAUAUAAAAAUAACAUAUUUAAAAAAACUAUUUAAAAAAUAAAUUAAUAUAAAAUAAAAAAAUAUUAUUUUAAAAGAUAUUAGGAAAGCUAGUGGAAAAGAGUUGCUAGCUAUUAAGUUUUUAAUAGCUUUUAACACUUUUAAUAAUUAUAGUUUAUAUCAGCUCUAAAUUAUAAUUUUUUGUAAAUAAUUUAAUUAAUUUAAAUACGAUGAUGAAAUUAGCUUUUUAUUUUAAAAUUAUAAAUUAAAAGACUAAAAGUUGCGUGCAGUAUGUCACGGGCUUGGUUUUUUCUACCAACGAACCGUGCGGCACUAGGUACUUUCUCAUGGAAACAAGUAAGCUAGUCAGCCUUACUCUUUAAAUGCUAGGCAAAAUGCUAGCUAGGAUGGCAAGAAGAACAAAAGAGAGCUAUAGACAACUUUGAGAGCUUUUGUAAAGAGAGUUUUCUCACUCUUUUACUUGAUUAUGCUUGAUUUGCUUGAUGCUUACAAAUGAAUUCUCUAAGCUAUAUAUAGGCCUCCACCUCCUCAAUGGACGGUGAGGAUACAUUCGAUCUAAUGGCUAGAUUAAGUAUCUAGAAUGUUCUACACACUUCCAUACUUAUCUACACAUUAUACAAGCUUCUAGAUUAUUCUAGAAUGUUCCAGAUGCUUCCAGAUGAUUCUAGAAUGUUCUAGAAUCCUUCCUUGCUUUGUAGCGAACUCUGGAGGCUUCUUGGGCCUUUGAACCUUCGUGCGAGAAGGGAAAAUAUGCGGGCUGUGACAUUCUCCCCCACUCAUUCUGGCGACGCCCUAGUCGCGUCCCCGCUGUAUGCCUCGAUUAUGCCCUUGAAGUUCCUUGGCAAAUCUUUGGCCUUGAUGGGGAAGGAGCUUUACCAUCACUAAGCCUCCCUCCUCAAACUCUGAGUGACUNNNNNNNNNNNNNNNNNNNNNNNNNNNNNNNNNNNNNNNNNNNNNNNNNNNNNNNNNNNNNNNNNNNNNNNNNNNNNNNNNNNNNNNNNNNNNNNNNNNNNNNNNNNNNNNNNNNNNNNNNNNNNNNNNNNNNNNNNNNNNNNNNNNNNNNNNNNNNNNNNNNNNNNNNNNNNNNNACCGACGGCUUGUCUUGUUCCACCUGGUCUUGGUCCAACGAAGGAAAGUUAGUAUUAGUGGUGGAAGCUAACUUUGCCUUGCUACUUAGCGCAUCGGCCACUAAGUUUGCGUUUCCCGGUUUGUACUCCUUCGCAAAAUCGGACUCUGCAAGGGAUGCUUGCCAUCUUACUUGCUUCGGAGUUGGCUUCUUUUGCUUGAGUACCGGUGGUUCACACGGAGCCUUGGAUGGCCUAGUGUGGCUAGCAUCCAACAACUCUUUUGGUUGCCUCCACAACUCUUCUAACUCAGGGGGUGCCACGUUAUAAGGGACUGCUGUAAGCGGCCUCGUACCUUCUACCAGCUCCAUUUUCUUAUCCACCUCUCUCUUCGGUGGGAGCUUCUUCGGUAACUCCGUAGGCAUUACAUUUCCGAACUUAUCUGGGACCCCUGUUAUCUCCUUUGGCACUUCAUCUUAUGGCGAGAUCGCCACUUCUUCCUUUAAUGCCGCAAGGAAUGACGGCUGAGCCUUCUCUACCCACUCAGCUAGUUGCAUGGCCAAGAUCUUCAUGGCUUUUACCUUGGCUUCUCGUUUUAACGGUACCAUGCAAGUAUUCCCUUGCUCCAAGAUACACAUGGUGUUGGCAAAAGGGAGUGGGAAUGCAUUCACUUUAUCCAAGAAUUCUAUGCCAAACACCAUUUUAUAGUCAUCCAUCGUAAUAAUGAAAAAAUCCAAGAGGCCAGACCACUCACCGAGGCUUACAACAGGAGCAAAGGUCUCGAAAUAAUCGAUACCGUAUGCCCGUCUAGUUAAUGGGUGAAUCCCUUUGCAACAAGACGAGCUUUAUAUCUUUCAAUCGAUCCAUCAGACAACUAUUUGAGAGUAUACACCCCCCUCCAACUAUAGGUCAUCCUCUCCCCCAUCAUAAGUAGGGCCUUUCCCUUCAGGCAAUGGAACAAGUUCCCAGGUAUCAUUUGGAGUGCCUCCUUCUCUUCAACCAUAGCCUUUCUCCAUUCAGGAUGAGCAAGGGCCUCCCAUAGACUUUUGGGUUCUUUUGCAGAAGAAAGAGCAAGAGCAAAAGACCUGUAGGAAGGAGAGAGGCCUUCAAAGGAAAGAAUUUGAGUGAUGGGAUGAAUAGUACAAGAACGUUUCCCUUAUCUCAAAGCAAUAGGAAGAUCCAUUUUGGAAUCAGAAGAAGCAGGAGUAACAGGAAAUAACGAAGAAGAUUCAAUAGGAAGGGAAAAAGGAAUACCUGGAUCUUCCGAAGAAGGCAAUUGAUGUGAGGUCAUUGGUUCCGUAAAUGGAACUUUCUUCCUUCGUCUCUCAUACGUUUUUUUUUUGUAGGACGCCCGCCCCCCGAUGGGAUCACUUUUUUAUUCUUCCUUAUGAAUUUGUUUUCUUUGGCUACGUCUACCACAAGGGAUGUCGUAAUCGUGCCUACAUUAUAGCUCCUAAACUGAACGAAUUAUGCUAGAACCAAUCUCAGAAGUCAGAGAGAGAGGAGAGUUGAGGACCAGUAGAUGGGAUGAAAUUGGCAGAUAUUUUGACUUGCUUCGAUUUUCUUCCCCGUUUUGUUCCUUGCGGUACUUUAAGCGAGGAUUUAAAAAAGAGCUGAUCGAUCUUUUUCAUAGAGAUUUCCUAACUACGAAUAUCUUCGGCCGGGAUGGAAAAAAACUAGGUGGCAACUGAGCGGGGAAUCCCCCAAGCAGUUCCAACUCACCCGUACUCAUGAAUAUAUAUAUUUGCAGAUCCAUAGAUGAUGGGCUUCCAUUUUAUGAGUGCUCCUUAUCUUCGGUAUACUCGAUACGCCGAUGAUCUAGCCAAGGGCAAGAGUGUGUUGUCAACUGGUUCAUGAGGUAUAUAAAAUUGGAAUGGAAGACUGGGAUGUCGGGGUUUUCGCGUAUUUCUAAUAUUUUAUAAUUACUUGUAGUAUUUUAAAAUAAUAAUAAUAAAUAUUUUUAGGUAUUUUUUAUUUUUAGAAUUAUAAUAUUUUAUUAAUGAAAUAAUAUAAAAUUUAUUUUUAAAAUAUUUAUUAAUUGAUUUUAGUAUCAUAUAAUAUAUCAAUAUUAUAAAUAUGAUUGACAAUUAACAAAUUAACUAUUAUUUAAUCUAAUGUCAAAAAUAUAAUUUAAAAUAUUAUUUUCUAAAAUUAGAUCCAUUCUCUCUAUAACCUGCGAGAAAUAGAAGAAAUUUUUAGGAAGAUAAAAAAAAAAUCUAUUCUUACUCCGUAAAAAAAUUCUUCUAAAAAUUUCGAAUAUAGUCUUUUUAAAAAAGCGUGUACACUACUUUUGUGUUUACGAGUCAAAGUUUUAACACAAGAAAGUCGAAGUAUAUAUUAAAACUAUAAUUAUAUAUUAUUUUUAAGAUUAUAAUCAUUAUUUAAUUAGAAAAAUAAUUUAUUAAUUAAUAAAUUAAAAAAAAACUACAAAAUUAACCUAAGUUUGAACCUCAUGAGUAAAAGUAAGUACACAUAUUAAAACAAAAAAUUUAUGUAUCAAAAUAUAAUUAUACAUGCUAAAUAAAUUUUAUGUUUUAAAAUUUAAUAUAUAUAUAUAUAUGUAUGUAUAUAUAUUUAUGAUGCGUGUGAUUGAAUAAAUUGCUACAUAAUUUUUCAUAAUAAUUAAUCAUUUAUUGUAAAUAUUAUUAUUUAAUUUAGUUUAAUUCUUAUAUUUUUUGUACAAUAUAGAAUAAUUAAAAAUUUAGAUGAAACUUAUAUGCUAAUGGUCAAUUUACAAAUUAUAGCAACUACUCAAAAAUAUUUAUGAAACACUUGUAUAAUUAACUACUAAUUAAUAACUAUUCAUUACUAACUACCAGCUACCAACUAUCAACUACUAAUUAACAACUAUUCGUUACUAACUACCAGCUACCACCUAUUAACUAUUAUGGGUGAGAAAAAUUUUGAAAGAACCGAAAAUCAAACCAAAUUGAUUCUUAUUUGGUUCGAUUUUGUUAUUUUUUUAAGUUCAGUUUAUUUGGUUUAGCUUUUAUAAAUUGAAAUAAUAUCGGUUCGGUUCAGUUUUAUGCUAAAAAUUUGUACUAAAUGAAAUAAUUGAUUUUUUAAUUAUUUAUUGAAAUUUUUAAAAUUUUUAAUAUAAAAUUUAAUUUUUAAAAUAAUCUUAGAUUCGGUUCGGUUAUUAUGAUUUACACCCUAUUCUGUUAGGUUUAGUUCAUAUUUAUAUACAAUUCAAUUAUUUCGGUUUAUUUAAAAAAUCUGCUUCGGUUCAAUUCAUCUUCAAAACUGGUUCAAUUUAUUUAGUAGACCUAAUUCGGUUGGUUUUGAACUGAAUUGACCGAAUGCUCACCUUAUCAACUAUACUAAUUAUAUGAACUAAACUGACCCUUAAAUUUCUAUAAUAUAUCAUUACUUCUUUUUAUUUUAAGUAUAAAAGAAUCUUUAUCUUUUAAUUUUAGUGAUUUGAUAAUAACAACAAUUCAAAUAUGUAAAUUUUAUGACGCUAAUAUUUUUUAAACUAGAUUAAUCAAUUUUUACACAAUUGUUAUUGAUAAUGAGAAACAAAAUAAUUAUAAAAGAAUAUAUGUAUAUAGAUUUUUGAGAUCUAAAUUUGUUUUGAUAUGUGUCUAUUUUUUUGAUAUAUAAAUUUUUAUUUUGAUAUGUGUACUUAUUAUUGACAUAUUAGAUUUAAGUUUUUUUAUAAUUUUAUAAUUUUUCUAUUAAUUUAUUAAUUAAUAUAUUAUAUUCUCAAUUAAACACUUAUUCUAAUCCUAAAAAAUAGCAUAUUAAUAAUAAUUAGUUUUCUAAUUAGAUAAUAAUUAUUCUAAAAAAUAGCAUACUAAUUAUAUUUUAAUAUUAUAAUAAUUAAUGUAUUAGUUUUUUAAUUAGAUAAUAAUUCUAAUUCUAGAAAAUAAUAUUUUAAAUAUUAUAUUCACUAAUAAAUUAAUUUUUUAAUUAUAUAAUAAUUUUUAAUUGUAAAAUAUAGUAUUAUCAAUUAUAUUAGUAUUAAUUAUAUAAUAUUAAUAUUAAUUAAUAAAUCUUUAAGAAUAUUUUAAUAUUCGUACAUUAAUAAAAGCUUAAAAUAUUAAAAAAAUUAAGAAAAAAAUCAAAAUAGUUAAUCUAUUGUUAUUUUAAAAUAUAAUAAUAAAUACUAAAUAUAAAUAUUUUAUUAAAUUUUAUUUAUAAACUUGAUUUAGUAAUUAUAUAAUAAUAAUGACCGUGUAACGUACGAAUAAAAGACUCAUUCUUAAUUAUUUAUAAAAAAUAUUUAUCCAGAUGUCUAUAGCCAUGUGUAUUUUUUCUUCAAUUUAGUAAUAACAAUAUUUUGAAAAUAACUUUUUAUGAUGGACGCUUUUAAAAAUAACAAUAAUAGAAUUUAAAUUUAUCUUUAUGUAGAUGAGUGAAUACUACCAUAUAAGUCUAUAAUAAUUUUAAUAAUUUAUUAAUAUAAUUAAAUACUAAAUAGUCAGUUAUAUAUAUUAGUUAGUUGUCGAUAAACUAUUUAUAUAAUUUUUAUUUAUUGAUGAUUUUUUAUUCAUUUUUUAAAUUUAUUAAUGGUUAAUAAUUAUGAAAUUCACCUAUAUAAUUUUAACUUAAAUAAAUAAUUAAUAGUUAUAUAUAAAUUUUUCGACUAUCUAAGUUAGCAAAGAACGUAUAAAACUAAUAAAUUAUUUAAAAUAAUAUUGAUUAAUUGUCUAUAAUUAAGAAAUAGACUUUAUAAUAAUAGAGUACCACAAUAGUACUCUAGCAAAACUCUUAAUUUAGUAUUUAAUUAUGUUAAAAAUUUAUUAAAGUUAAAAUAAUACCAAUUUGUAUAUAUUUAUAUAAUAUCACACACCCAUAUAGUAUAUUAGAAUUACUCAUAUAUAUCAACUCAUAAUGAAAGUUACUAAUUUCAAUCUUUUAUCUUUUACUAAUUUCAAUGUGUCUUUUCCUAUAUAAAAAAAACACAAUGUACUCACUCAUUAUCAGAAUAAGACAAUUAUUUCAAUAAAUUUAAACCUAUAAAUGCGUUUAUUUUAUUUUAUGAUUGUGAAAUUGGUUUGAAAAAGAAUAUGAACUCUAUGUUGAAAUCGACUGUUAAGCUGUACACCAAAAGCGAAAGGGCUUCAUUUUGGUGAUGAUUCCCUCAUAGCAUAUUAACUCUAAAAAUGUUUUCUUAGUACAUCCACUUGCAUACAGUCAGCUUCUUUCAAUCUGUACCAUGUUUCAACUGCCAAUAUCACACCAACUGUUGCUGUCAGUACCUGAGUACCACAACCCAUUCCCAUCUUUUCCUUUUCUUUCUCUUUUUUUUUUUUUUUUUUUUUUUUUUUUAUUUCCCUUAAAAAAAUAAUUAAAUUGGAAAUUUCUUAAGAUGAUUUGUUCUUCACAACCUGCUAAUUCCAACAAAACCCUUCACCACUAAUGUGAUAAAUGAGAGGGGAAAUACGGGGAUUUUUCUUAAAGGAAUAUAUAAAAGUCUUGAUGUCCUUUUAUAGAAAUAAUUCUUUCAGUAAAAGAAAAACUACUUCAAGAUUAAAGGGAAAACUUUUAGAAAAAUGGGAAUCCUUUUUAAAUAUUUCUAAAACAUUUAAGGACAAGACAUGACCAAAUUGAGUCAUCAAGCAAUUAGGGCAUGACAAGACAUAGAUAGAAUAUGUAGAUGUGGAUAUAGAAGGGUUUGUUAAGAGCUGGUCCCUAUAUCUGUAUAGAAACAGUAGACAAACUUCUAAAAAAUAUGAAGCCAGAGAUACAGAAAUCAAAUUAUAUAAAUUUAUAUAUAUCUUAUUGUUAUUUUGCUAUUAAGACAAUUAAUUGCAAUUAUUAUCAUGAUUCCCUUGUCUAAUCACGGGNNNNNNNNNNNNNNNNNNNNNNNNNNNNNNNNNNNNNNNNNNNNNNNNNNNNNNNNNNNNNNNNNNNNNNNNNNNNNNNNNNNNNNNNNNNNNNNNNNNNNNNNNNNNNNNNNNNNNNNNNNNNNNNNNNNNNNNNNNNNNNNNNNNNNNNNNNNNNNNNNNNNNNNNNNNNNNNNNNNNNNNNNNNNNNNNNNNNNNNNNNNNNNNNNNNNNNNNNNNNNNNNNNNNNNNNNNNNNNNNNNNNNNNNNNNNNNNNNNNNNNNNNNNNNNNNNNNNNNNNNNNNNNNNNNNNNNNNNNNNNNNNNNNNNNNNNNNNNNNNNNNNNNNNNNNNNNNNNNNNNNNNNNNNNNNNNNNNNNNNNNNNNNNNNNNNNNNNNNNNNNNNNNNNNNNNNNNNNNNNNNNNNNNNNNNNNNNNNNNNNNNNNNNNNNNNNNUUUUACAUAUAUUAAUUCAUGUAAAUAUUUGCUCUCUAUCCCACCAUUAAUUCCCAUAUUUAAGAUUGAAAAAACAAAAAAGAGAACGAAAAGAGAGAGAGAUUUAAAAGAAACAGAAAGGGAAAAAAAAAACAUAAGCAUAGAGAUCAAGAAGAAGAAGGAGAAGAAGAAGGAAAUGCCUGGCUCUCCCAUGUACGCCGCCAAAUAUGGUUGCUCCCAUGAAUUCUUCAACCGGAACUAAUUAAAACUCUGUGAUCAAAAUGAGUAGUAGGUAGUAGUAGUAGUGGCCGAAGACUGGAGAAUAUAUGACUGUUUAAUUUCCAAGAUUAAUUAGAACCAAAAUGAUCAGCUCUGUCUGUCUCUCUCUCUGUUUCUCAAGAAAAUACAUAAGAUUUUAUGUGUAACCUGUACAUCUGUGGAGUUGCCGCCAUGGCUGUAAAACUUCUUCUUCUUCUUCUUCUUCUUCUUCUUUUUCUUGGUUACCAUUUCUAUAUAAAUAUAUAUGAAUGGCUUUCUGUGACUUCUCUGUUGAUAUAUGGUUAAAGAGACUAAACAGAAGAAACUGAGUAAAGAAGAGCACCUGCUGUUUCUUUUAACACAAGAGACUAUUAAAAAAUAAAAAAGGUAAGAAGAAGAAGAAGAAGAAGAGGAGUCGGGUGUUCCCAAAAAGAUGAAGACGAGCGUUUCCCGUUAAUGUGUUGUUUUCAAUGGUGGUGUUAUUAUAUAAUAAUAUUUUAAUAUUUUUCCAAUUCAAAACAGUGGGCCAACAACAGAAGGCCCCUUUUUGUUUCACACGCUGCCUUGUUUCUGUUUUGUCUUCCUCCUCUUCCCCUCUUGCAACUUACAGAUAGUCAAUCUCUCUCUCUCUCUCUCUCUCUCCCUUCAACGAGAGAACGUGGCCUUAGUUUAGGGAACAACACAAGUCUUUAAGGCUCUCCCUCAAGCCUUCUAAAAUAAUACUAUUAAUUUUAUAACCUUAUAAAAGCAAUAUUAUAAUAUUAAUCACUAUACAAUCUUUCCACAUAUUUAUUAGUGGUAAAUAAUUAAAUAAUUGAUAAUAUUUAUUCAUUAUAGACUGAAAUUUCCUGAUAAUUUAGAUAGCAUGAUAUAUAGUAUUAGUAAAGUUUUAACCAUUAAAUUUAAACGGUUGAGAUUUUAUUAUUCAAGCCACUGUAUGAAAUUUAAAUUAUAUCUUUUUAAUAGAUUUCAAUCAUUUUAUUGAAAUUUAAGAAUAAAGAUCUGUAAUAUGACAUAUCUAUUCAAUCUUGUUAUUACAUAUCUAUCUCUUAUUCAUUGCAGAUUAAAUAAAAAGAAAAUAUUCAUUUAAUAAAAUAUAUUAAUAGAAAUAGAAACAAAGCUAAAAUAAACAUCACCUACUUAAAAUAAAUAAUCAAAUACAAGUUUUCAAAAUCAAAUCUUAAGAUUAUAAUGUAUCCCAAAAAGGUCAAGGAGAAAAGAGAAAAAAUAAAAAUAAGAAUAAAAACGAUACUAGCUUGUUAGAUCUUGGAUUUUACAGUAUGUUUGCAUGUACACAUUGUUGUUUGCUUUUCAUUCUAGAUUCUAAUUUCUUGAUUAAGGUAAAAUGUGACACCUGUCUUGCCAUAUAAUUGUCUAUAUCUGAUUCAUCUUUCUUCACUAAUUAGUGGGAAAAUAUUUAAUUUGUUAAAACUGCUUGAUCAAAUAUAUAAUUGAUCAUAUAAACAAGAAGUGUGCUGUUGUUUGUUGUUUCAAAGGAUUGCUAAUCUCCCAAAGAUUAUCAUUAGAUUAUGAUUAAGAUUAUAGCUUUAGACAGAUUCCCCAACACUUGUACCAAUCAUUCAUAUAAUAUAUACAAAGGUCUUUUCUUUUUCUAUUUAAUCAGCAUUAAUUAUUGAGUACCUCUUAAUAUGAGACACCACCAAACUAGCUGAUAAUUGCUAGUAAAAAUUGUACAGGUUGGUAAAGAAAUGAAGGGUUAAAAUAGAGAAGUUAGCAGUUGCAUAAUAAUGGUGGUUAUUGGUGAAGUUAGAAGUUGCCAUAAAGGGAGGACAAUAUUGUUUUGGCCCUCCACUUCUACUGUAUAUGAUCAUCAGUCUGCCAUUAUCACCUAGCUAACUGUUGUCUUCCCCAUAUUAAACUAAACUCCAGUACUAUCACCCUCCCAGAUUAUUUUCUCUACUGGGUUAAUUUAACUCCAUCAUAAUCUUAUUAAUGUGUCAUCGGCUGAACUUACAGAUAAGUUCCUAAAUUUUCAGUUAAAGCGAACUUAAACCUCUAAACUUCCAAUUACAUUUUUAAAUUUAAGAAAUAUAAUAAUUAUGUCUUUUAAGCUAGUUCUAUCCAUUUUCCUGUAUAAUGGCACGAGAUCUAAUUAAUUUAAAGUGUUAAAAGAAAUUUUUUUAAUCUUUUCCGACUAACUUUUUCUUUUCAUGUGAGGAAGUGUAACUCUUUCUUUUAGCAGUUAAAAAUCAUAAAAUGAUAAUUUUUUGUUCACUUUCACAAAGAAAAAUAAGCGCCUUCAUUAUCAGUAGUUAACUCCAAAAUAUAAUUAUUUUAUUUUUUAAACUUAAGGGAUACAAUUUAGAAGUUUAUUUUAAAACUUAGAAGCUUACAUUUAAUUUUUUCCUUAUAAUAUCUCUCCAACUUUUUUUUGAUUCUUCAAGCUUGUUUUUAAAUUACCAUAAUUUAUGUUAGGCAUCCACAAUUAUGCUCUUUAUUUUAAAAAUCAUUAUUAUUCAAUAAAAAGUAACUUAAAAGUUUGGAGGCUUACUAAUAACUUUUGCCUUUUAAUAUAUCUCCAAUUCUUUUCUGGCUUAUUUUUAAAUUACUAUCAUUUAUGUUAUACAUCUAUAAUUAUGUUUGUUAAACUUUGAGGAUUAUUAAUCUUAUUUUAAUUGUCAUAAAUAAUUAAAAUUAUCUAACUUUUUAAUUAAGUGUGUAAGAAAAGAAGAAUAGAAAUUUUUAAUCCUUUUAAAACAGCGCAGAUGAAAGAUUAUUCACGAUCAUGAAAGGUUAUUCACGACCGUGAAUUUGACUUUUCAUAUAUGAAUAGAAGUUUCCAGCCAUAGAAAACUUAAGGACCAUAUUAAAAGGGAUAGAAGGAUACAUGGGGAGCCUUCCAUGAAAAUCAAGAUUCAUGCCCGUGAAAAAUGACUCUACCUCCAAUUCUCUAAGAAGUCAUAGAAGCAUUCUGGCUAAUAUUUCCAGCCAUAAAAGUAGCCCUUCACGGUUAUGAAGAAAUCUUUCCAGUCAUGAAAGAAAGUUUUCCAACGGUGAACAAAGAUUCAAGCCUGUAAAAAACUUUUUUCUUACAAGUCCAGUAGCUUUUAUGGCCAAAGUUUUCAGCCGUGAAAGAUGUCUUCCCAGCAGCAACAAUGAGCUUCAGACUUUUGAAUCUGAAAUUGGCGUUGAGAGCUUCACAGGCAUGAAUAUUUCUUUCCGAUCGUGAACUUGCAUUUCUUAAGAUUGUUGAAACGACUAUAUUUGCAUUUAAUGAGAGUAUAAUAUCUCUAUUUUUCCUAGAACUAUAAAAGCAUUAUUUUUAAUAGCUUUAAGGUUAGCAAAAGCAUUUACUUGAGCUUUAUUUGUAAUAUCUCUCAACAAUAUCUACUUUUUCAUUAAAUUUUUCUUGAAUUAAAGAGUCAAGAGAGGGCUUGAAUCUUUGAGUAGUUGAGUGAUUGAUUUCUGUAUUCAAAGCUCAAAAGAGUUAGGUUGAGCACUUGGACAAUGGAUUAAUUAUUCUUGUAACUAAGAGUGAGAUCUUGAAUAGGUACACUGUGAGCUAGAAAANNNNNNNNNNNNNNNNNNNNNNNNNNNNNNNNNNNNNNNNNNNNNNNNNNNNNNNNNNNNNNNNNNNNNNNNNNNNNNNNNNNNNNNNNNNNNNNNNNNNNNNNNNNNNNNNNNNNNNNNNNNNNNNNNNNNNNNNNNNNNNNNNNNNNNNNNNNNNNNNNNNNNNNNNNNNNNNNNNNNNNNNNNNNNNNNNNNNNNNNNNNNNNNNNNNNNNNNNNNNNNNNNNNNNNNNNNNNNNNNNNNNNNNNNNNNNNNNNNNNNNNNNNNNNNNNNNNNNNNNNNNNNNNNNNNNNNNNNNNNNNNNNNNNNNNNNNNNNNNNNNNNNNNNNNNNNNNNNNNNNNNNNNNNNNNNNNNNNNNNNNNNNNNNNNNNNNNNNNNNNNNNNNNNNNNNNNNNNNNNNNNNNNNNNNNNNNNNNNNNNNNNNNNNNNNNNNNNNNNNNNNNNNNNNNNNNNNNNNNNNNNNNNNNNNNNNNNNNNNNNNNNNNNNNNNNNNNNNNNNNNNNNNNNNNNNNNNNNNNNNNNNNNNNNNNNNNNNNNNNNNNNNNNNNNNNNNNNNNNNNNNNNNNNNNNNNNNNNNNNNNNNNNNNNNNNNNNNNNNNNNNNNNNNNNNNNNNNNNNNNNNNNNNNNNNNNNNNNNNNNNNNNNNNNNNNNNNNNNNNNNNNNNNNNNNNNNNNNNNNNNNNNNNNNNNNNNNNNNNNNNNNNNNNNNNNNNNNNNNNNNNNNNNNNNNNNNNNNNNNNNNNNNNNNNNNNNNNNNNNNNNNNNNNNNNNNNNNNNNNNNNNNNNNNNNNNNNNNNNNNNNNNNNNNNNNNNNNNNNNNNNNNNNNNNNNNNNNNNNNNNNNNNNNNNNNNNNNNNNNNNNNNNNNNNNNNNNNNNNNNNNNNNNNNNNNNNNNNNNNNNNNNNNNNNNNNNNNNNNNNNNNNNNNNNNNNNNNNNNNNNNNNNNNNNNNNNNNNNNNNNNNAACUCUAUUAAAAUUGAUAUGGUUAAUCUUGAAUAAAAGAUAAAUUGGUAAGAAAUGAAAUAGUAGUGGAAUCACAAGUAAUUGACAGCAAAUAAAUGGGUUACAAUUAUUAAAUUAACGUGUUAGUGCAUUUAAAUAUAAAUUAUUAUCAGUCUAAUUCUCAAAGUACUAAAACUGUCAAAAAAAAUCAUAAAAUCUUUUGUGUCAAAUAAUUAAAUUAUAAUGAAAUUUUGUAAUUUUUUCUAUUUUUUGUUUAAACUUUAGAAUCUAACUACACAACUGAAUUAGUAGCUAGAUUUCUGGUUGUUAUUUGAGUCUAGCUACCAAUUAAUGAGUAGAUGAGCCUUAAUUGGAUGACCCCGUAAAUAAUGAAAUGGAAGAUUGAUGAGUCAGUAUUUGCUAUUUUUCUUUUUCACAAUAUCAUAUAGUAUGUAAAUUAAUGAAAUGGAAGAUUGAUGAUUUAGUAUUUGUUCUUUUUUAUUUUUCAGAAAUAUCAUCUAGUAUGUAAAUUGUACCUACUUUAAUUGUUUUAGGGGAAUCAUUCGUCUCUCACUAAUUCUGAAACAAUGUUGUUUCUUUUCUAAUUAAAAAAUAAAUAAAUUAAGCUACAGCUUGGUAUAAAAAUAUAACACGAAAUAAUGAUAUAAAUGGUCCUUGAACUUUAUAUAUUGUCUCAUUUUGAUCAUAUAAUUUUAGUUUGUAAUUCAAUUUUAGUUUUGACUAUAAUUUAGUUGAUCAUUUUACGAAUAAUAAAUUGAUAUGUUAUGUUUCUCUUUUUUAAUUACUCUUUUUUCAUUAACUAUUUUUGAGACAUAUCAAUUCUUCAUUUAUGAAGUGACUAAAUUAAAAUAUAAUUAAAGUUGAAUGAUUGAUACUAUAUAAAUCAAAAUUUUAUAACUAAAAUAAAAAUAAAUAUAAAAUUUAAUGACCAUUUAUACCAUUAUCCCAAUAUAACACAAAUAAUGUUUACACUUGAAAAUGAUAAUUGUUUCUAGUAUUCUUUAAUAGUAUUGAGAUAGGGGAAAUAUUUACUUGCAUUUUUAUGAAACUCACAAUUAAUAUGAUACUAAAUCAACAAAGAAUGCCUAAAGAUCGAUAUCGAUAUUAAUUCAGUACAAAUUUUUAUAUAAAAACAUCAGAAUAGGUUUGACAUAUGAAAACAUCAAUAUAUAUAGAAAACUAAUAAAUAGAUUCAGUCAGUUACAUCAUUCGUAGAUAAAAUCAAUUAUAUAGUGGCAUACACAUUAUUUAUUAGUUAUGUAUUUAAAUUGAUUGACUUUUUAUUACGAGUGAUUGUUAAUAGAUAAAUAAAUCAGUAUGUACUUCAAGAUCAAAUUUUGGUUAGUAGUUUUCUUUUGACAUAAAUGGGUGUUGAUUAUCUCAAGUUCUAAAAUGAAAUCAGUGACUUCAAGAACAAAAACACACUAGAGGAAUGAGAUUUUGAGUUCUCUUCAAAAUGAAAUGGCAUUAGUUAAGAAGAAGAAGAAGAAGAAGAAGAAGGGUGUCUCUAGAAAUGACAUUUUGAGUUAAAAUCUGAAUGACAAGAACAUAAGAUGUCAACAGUUUCAACAAAUGAUUCUCUUGUUAGCAAUAAAAAUACACAGAUAUGACAUCAUGGUCAUACCCCUGGUGAGAGGAGCUAGCUGCUGUGGCCCCUUUUGUCUAAUUCACCAAGCUAAUUUAUGUCAAAUUAAUUGUCAUUGUCCUUUACCUUUCAAUUAAGAAUUCUUGUUUUAUAUUAAGAUAAGCAAAAGUGUUAAUCCUGAAUAAAUGGAGAGUAGGUGAAGAGGAAUCUUGUUCUUGUCUAUGGCAUCCAGUCCCUUUAAUAAUAGCAUCAGUUCUCUUCAAUUAAUCUUACAAGAAAGAAAUACACUCUUUUUGUUUGCUUUCGUUAUAUAUAUAUAUAGUUAAGGCGCUAAUUAUUAUGAGGGAUAUGUUGUUUUUGCAGGAGGGCAGCUUCAGGAGGGGCGGGGGGCAGCAGCUUUGGCAAAUCCUGACAUCCCGCAAUGUCCAUCCAUUAAUUUGCAACAACUGUAUUGGGCAUCUCAACAUAUCAUUCACUAUCUUGCUUUGUUUCUUCUGCUGCAUCCACUGCCCCAAGCACCAUUUAAUUCUUUUUCUUUUAAGAAAAUAAAUAUUAAUCAUUUUUAUAAUUUAUAAACGUGUUAUGCAUAUUUAGUUGCUUGCCAAUAAUGUAAGAUUUAAGAUUACACACAUUAAUUAGUGCUGCUAGCCAUGGAAUUAACCACGUCGAAAAUUACGAAAAAAAUGAAUAAUUUUCUUCAGUGUUUUAUUAAACUUGUGGACUCAGUUUAUAGUGCCGGAACAGUAUGCNNNNNNNNNNNNNNNNNNNNNNNNNNNNNNNNNNNNNNNNNNNNNNNNNNNNNNNNNNNNNNNNNNNNNNNNNNNNNNNNNNNNNNNNNNNNNNNNNNNNNNNNNNNNNNNNNNNNNNNNNNNNNNNNNNNNNNNNNNNNNNNNNNNNNNNNNNNNNNNNNNNNNNNNNNNNNNNNNNNNNNNNNNNNNNNNNNNNNNNNNNNNNNNNNNNNNNNNNNNNNNNNNNNNNNNNNNNNNNNNNNNNNNNNNNNNNNNNNNNNNNNNNNNNNNNNNNNNNNNNNNNNNNNNNNNNNNNNNNNNNNNNNNNNNNNNNNNNNNNNNNNNNNNNNNNNNNNNNNNNNNNNNNNNNNNNCUUCGUCCAACAAUUCUCGAAUCUAAACCAGGCUUCUGCCUCUUCACUCGGCCAUAGUGAUGGAUUAUUAGAGGAAGGUGUGAUCAGACCCUAUCGAUGACUUGGGCUUGAAGGAAUAACUCUCUCCACCCUAUAUUACUAAGGGCUCUUAUCAAUUCUGGACCCAUUCUUUUUGUAGACCAAGUAAAUGCCUGGCCCUUGAACCCCAAGUCCACCAACUCACUAUCAAAUACGAGACCAUUCUUGUUCAUAGAAUUUCCCCCUCUCCUAUCGCACUCUGCUGCUACGCGCAUUCUUAUCCCCCACAAACAGCCACGGCUCACGGCUUGCUGCCAUCCUUUUCACUCUUUUCAUUCUGUCACGGUGAUUCUAAUUCUAUAAAAUAGUUUUUUAAUUAUAUUUUAAAUAUUUAUAUUCCUAAAAGGUAAUAUAUUAAUUACAAUAUCUCUAACGAAUGUUCAAUUAUUUAUUAUAAAGAGUCAUCCUUAAAAAUAAGACUUCAAUAGAUUCUUUAACUUUUAAUAUAAAAUUAGUUUUUACGCUUUAUUAAUUUUAUUAAAUAUAUAUAUAUAAUUAAUUAAUUUUUUUGAUAUGUGUGUUUAAUUUGAUACAUAGAUUUUUUAUUUUGACAUGCAUAUUUAUCUUUAACACAUGAGAUUUAAGCUUAUAUCCAAUUUUAUGGUUUUUUCUAUUAAUUUAUUGAAUAAAUAAGUUACGUUCCUAAUUAAAUACUGACUCUAAUAAUAAAAAAUAGCAUAUUAAUUAUUUUUAGUAUUAUAUUAACUAAUAAAUAGUUUCUUAAUCAGAUAAUGAUACUAAUUCUAUUUUAAACAAUAGCAUAUUAAUUAUAUUUUAAUAUUAUAUUAACUAAUAAAUUAGUUUUCUAAUUAGAUAUUAAUCCUUAUUCUAAAAAAUAACACCUUAGAUUAUAUUUUAAUAUUAUUUUUAAUGAUAAAUUAAUUUUUUCAUUAUAUAAUAAAUUUCUAAUCUUAAAAAAUAUUAUAGUAUCAAUUAAACUGAUAGUAUUAAUUUAUGUAAUAUUAAGAUUAAUUAAUAAAUCUUUUUAAAAUAAUUUUUAUAUUGUUGUACUAAUAAGAUUUUAGCAUUUUAAAAUAUUUAAAAAGAACUUUUGAAAUAGUUACUUUGCUAUUAUUUUUAAAAUAUUAUAAAUUAAUAUUAAAUAUUAAAAUUUUAUUAAAUUGUAUUUAUUAAUUUAAUUUAUAAUCGAAAUAAAAAUAAUAACGGUCAUGCAAUAUACGGGUAAGUAACUAGUAUGUUAUAAGUUUUUAUGCGCUUUUAUUGAUAAAAAUUAAAAAGGGAAGAAAAAAAUUUAAACCAUUAAAAAAAUUCACACCAUUAAUAUUUAUGAAAAAAAGUACAAUAUAGAGUAAAAUAGGCAAAAGGUACAAAUAUAUGGCUUAAAUUUUGUCAAAGUGCAAUUAAACUCUUAAAGUUUAAAGUAGUUCAAUCAUAUCUAUAAAUUUGAAAAAUAGAAUAAUUAUAUCUUUAAAACUAACUCCGUAUAAAGCUCAAUUAGUUUUGGAUGUUAAAAGAAUCGCAUCAACUCUUCCUAACUCACCUUUUUUUUUUUUUCGUAGGAAGAAGUAUUAGCUCUGCCAGUUAAUGGGCAAAAAUCAUAAAGAAUAAUUUUUUUCUUACUUUGACAAAGAAAAAUUAAUAUUAUCAUCAUUAGUUUGAAAAUGAGUUAACUCCAAUUAUAUAAUUAUUUUAUUUUUUUUCAAGUUUUAGGAAAGUAACGAAGCUACUUUAAGAUUUAGGAGUUGAAAUACAUUUUGAUCAAAAGUUUAGAGGGUUAUCAAUAUCUUUUGCAAAGUAAGAUAUAAGGAGCCUAUUGGAGUUAAUAAAUUUUUCUUUUUUACUUAUUCUAUUAGAAUAUUUUUUUAAGAUAUUUUUUUAUUAUAGAAACGAUAAAAUAAAAAACGUCAUUAGGAUGCUCUUAUAUAUAUAAUUAACAAAUCAAUAUAUAAUAUUUUUUGAUAUUUGUACUUUUUCUUGACAAUAUAAAAUUUGUUUCAUUUAUAUAUAUAUAUAUAUUAUAUUGAUGUACAAUUUUUAUGUCCAUCAUAUAAUUAAUAUAUUAACUAAUAAGUUAAUUUUUUUAAUUAUACAAUAAUUACUAAUACUAAAAAGGUACAUAGAUAAUAUUUGUAAUAUUAAUUUUAUAUAUAAUUAAUAAAUCAAUUAGUAAAUAUUUUUAAAUAUUUUUUAUAUUCAUUUCAUUAGUAAAAUCUUAAAUAUUUGAAAUACAAAGACACCUAAAAAAAUCAGAUUAUUAUUAUUUUUGAAAAUAUAACAAAUAAUUAUAUAAUAUUAAUAAUUCUAAUAAAUUUCUUUUAUAAACUUGUAUUAUGUUAUUAUUUGUAAUCAAAUAAUAAUAAUAAUUAUGCAAUACAUAGAUAAAUAAUUAGAAAUUCUUGGCAUACUAAGAUAUAAUUUUUUUUUUAUUACUUUAACACAAUUUUUUUUAUAUGUGUACUUACUGAUGAUAUUGAAAUACAAAAUGAAAUGUAAAUUGGACAAAUAAUUCUUAUCGAGUAGCACAUAAUGUAAAAGAAAAAGUAUGCAUAGCCAUACUAACAGAAUCACAUUGGAUAAACUGUUUUUCUGGAAUUUUGAUUUUUCGUUUAAUUUUAACUUUCGGUUGAAAGAGUAGUGAGUCCAAUUAACAUACUAAAUUGUUAAUUAAUUAUAUAAUAUGUAAAUUUUUAAUCCGUUAAUCGAUUAACAGAAUCACAUUUCUUAAAAGAAAAUAUUUUGGUUAACCAAAAAACUAACAGUCAGCCAAUCGAUUUCUAAAAUAUCAUAAGUUUUAUACACUAAUUAUAAUUAAGUAUUUGUAUUGAUUAAUUAAUUUAUAAAGCUAAAGAAAAUUCUCGAGAACCAAAGGAUUAUUCAAUUUUUGUUCUAAUUUCGAUUUCAAAAUUCCAAUAAAAUGACACUAAGUCUCUAUUAGUAUAUUAAAUUGAGAAAAUUAAAAACCUCAUAAUAAAAUAUUAAAAGCGUUGAUACUCAUAGAUUCUUUUGCAAUUAGUUAAAAUGGAAAACUUUGAGGUGGCGUCCUACGCCCAUGUGGACCGCCUCACUUAAUUCUGUAUGUCAUAUUAGCAAUAUAUUUCAACAAUUUUAACUGGCCUAUUUAAUUGUAAAAAUUAAAAAAUUGCAUUUAAUAUUUUAUUUAAAUAAAAAAAAAUUAUGAUUAAAUGACAAAAGAGUACCAAAAUUAUGUAACUUUUAGCAGUCAAACCUAAAGGUUAUAACAAUUUUAUGGUGUACUUAUAAUAUGGAAAUAAUAGAUAACUAGCAACUUUUUUUCCCUUUUUUUAUAUACUAGAACCACAAAAAGGAAGUACAUAGGAAGUGUGAAAGCUGCAAGGACUAUAUUGUCUUUUACUGUUCCUCAUCUUCUUAUACACAUAUACAUAAUGCAUCUACUCCACAGAGGGCCUGGCGUCACUUUUCUUUUCUUUAACAUUCUACCACCAUACUUGUUUAUCUCCACCUUGUCCACCUUUCGUCAUGUCUAAUUCCCCCUUUUUUUUUUAUAUAUAAACUAAAAUAUUAUACAUUGCAUACGUAUUAUACAAAAAUAUCAAAAUAUUUUGAGUAUUCAAUUUAAAAUAUUAAAAAUAUAUAAUAAUUGAAACUAGUAAGAUAAGAUUAGAUCACCAACCAUCUUUAAACAUAUGUUUAUUUUGCAAGAGCGCAUCUUCUUGUGCGGCCGCAUAACACCGUGAACAAUCCGUACCUUGUCGUUGCCAUUCGCAACAACCAUAAUGGCAAGGACUUUCACCACCAGCACUGUACAAUUUUCAAAUUAGAUCAAAGAUGGGAAAAAUAAUUAAUUAUAUGAUGCAGCAGUCCAAUUAAAGUAGAGAAUUAAAGAAAUUAAUAAAGAAAGGAAUAGAUAUGCACACUAACAAUUGUGAUUACCUUUGCAUGCUUUUACUUUUUUUUUUUUUUUAUAAGAAAAAGGGGGCAGAGUCCUAUCAACUAAAAAUAAUCACAAGCAAGAAUCUCUUCUACACAAAUCCUAAACUAAAUAAACCAACAACUCCUUUGGAGAAUAGAAACAGACGAUAAAAUCUGGAUCACCAUCUAAUGCAGCUCUAGCCAUAACAUGAGCACAGUCAUUGUCCUUUUGACCGAUAUGCAAACAACGAAGCAUCCAGUCUCUUACAAGUAAAAUAUAUAUUCGACGAAUAUCUCUUCUGUAAAAUCAUGAACUUUCCUUCUACUGUAAAUAUAAUCUACAGCCAACAAGGAAUUCAACUCCAGAACAACCUUGCUAUAACUAUAACACUAUGCCAUAUUAAGACCCAACAUAGCUCCCAUAGCUUAGAGUCUAAAGGGGAACAAUUACCAAUGUAGUUUUUAAAACCCAUCAACCAGCCCUCUCUACAAUCGCGGAGCACACAGUUGCAACUGCCCUUCUCCCCUUAUCCACACAAGCCUCAUCUGUAUUCAGUUUAACCUUGUUCUUAUAUGGUGGAAUCCAUCUAUAUACCUUAUUAAUAUUACUUAUGUUGCUAGUUAAGUAUUUCUCAUAUUCUUGAGCAUCCAUAAUCUCGUUGCAAUACUUCAUAAUGACUUGCCUAGGAACAUGAUGAGAUGACCGAACAUGAAAUACGUGUAGAUUUUUUUAUGAAUCCUUCGUAAUUUCAUUCAAAACAAAUCUAAAGAUGGUGCAAUAAUUUAUUCAAUAAAAUUUAUUAAUUUUAAUAAUUGGUUAACCAUUAAUAAUGAUGUCGUGAUUGAUUCAAAUUCUAAAAUCCCUAUAAAGUAUUACUUCUAACAUUUUAUACUAAUUGAUAUUUAUUAAAUAAUUUUUUAAAUUAUUUAUUAUUUUUACAUAUUCAAUAUAAUAUUAAUUUUUUUAUUUUAUUCUUGUAUUAACGUUAUUAACUAUUAGUUUUGCAAAAUUCUAUAAAUUUAUACAUAAAAAUAUAAUAAAUUUUAAAAAAUAGAUAACACAUUAUUUCCAAAUGCUUAACAUGUAACACAUUAUUUCCACAAAGAAUGAAAAUUGAAACAAAAACAAAAAUAAAUAAGGACAAAACUAUGUCAUCUGAGUUACAAACCGGCCACAUUUGGAAUUGAGAUUUUAUUUUCCCAGCUAUAUAUGUUGCAUUAUGGUGGAGUUUUGACUCUUAAAUUUAAAUUUGGGCAACUUUAAUCUUUAAAUUUAUUGUCACCAUCCGAUCUAUCAAUCCAUGAGCCGCAUUAGAAACUAGUUAAAUUUAAGGCUAUUGUAAUAGAUCUUAUUAAUUGAUAUUUUAAUAAAGUAUAUAUAAAAAUAUAAUAUUAAUCCGGUCUGACAUGUUAUACACAACUGGUCAUUGAUAACAUUUCAUAUUUUGUUAUAUACCAAAUUAAACAUAACAUAUAAAAAAUAUUGUUGUGGAAAGUCUAGAAUUUUAAAUAUUUAAAAUACAAUAGUUAAAUUCAUUACAAUAAGUUCGAGCAGGACGAUAAAAGACUUUAACUGUCACCUGAAAAAUAAUUAAAAUUAAGACUAUCAGUCUCGAGAGUGAGUUAAAAUCAUUUAAUCCUAUAACUAUUGCAGUCUCCUAAAUAUAAUAUUUAUUGAAUCAAAUAUAACAUGUCGUUUUGUAUUAAAGUACCUGUCGUGCUGUCACGACCCACUCUGUGGACCCGUGACCGGCACUAGGGAAUGGGUAGGCUUAAGGCCACCGAAUCCCGUAGUAAGCCUGAAACUCACUAACUCAAUCAAAUCUCAUCUCAAAUUAAUAUUAUUAAAGCCACAAAUUAUCUUAAUAGGAACAUUUUACAUAAUUACUUCGGUCUGCCAGAAAAAUUAGGCGAGACCCAAAACUCAUAAAAUUUACAACUGAUACCUCUACUAUUGCAACUGCGGAGAAUCUAAGAUUUUUACAAUUCGACAUACUAAAUCAAACACUACCCGAUGAUGAAGAAGUCGGGUUACUGAGUAAGAGUCGCGGGAAGACUAACAGUCACGAAUCUGAAAAACAAAAAAUGGAGACUGUCAGUCUCGAGAGUGAGUUAAAAUCAAAUAAUCUAGAGACUAUUGCGAGUCUUCACAGAAAAUAUUAAUCAUUCGAAUCAGUAUAUCAAACCAUACACGUAAAUACAACUCAUAUUAUAAUCAUACCAAAUAAAUAAAUAAAUAAAAUAUAUUUUUAUUUUUACGGGACGAGUGGCUCAGUAAAACCCUAACCCCAAAUUCUAGUAGCCUUUUGGCUCUCUUGAUCCAAUAAGACUGGCGCCUAGAGAGCAAUGCUCGACCAGGGACCUUAUCUCCAAUCUGGUCACUUAAGUAUCCAAAUAUGCCGGCGCCCAGAGAGCAAUGCUCGACCAGGGACCUUUACUCCGGCAUCUCAUUCCAAUAGGACUGGCGCCCAGAGAGCGAAGCUCGACUAGGGUCCUUAACCCCAGUCCGGUCACUUAAUAUUCAAAUAAGCCGGCGCCCAAAGAGCAAUGCUCGACUAGGGACCUUUACUCCGACAUCUCAUUCCAAUAUGACUGGCGCCCAUAGAGCAAUCAUCACAUUUAAUAAAUAUCAUGGUCUAAUGAAAUCAUUCAACACAUUAUCAAAAUAAAGAUUAAAAAUUUAGGGCAAAGCAACAUGCAUUCGUGUGGAAAAAUAAUAAUAUUUUUAUUAUUAUAACAUUACUAAUAAUAAUAUUUAUAUUAUUUUUAAUAAUUAAUAAUCAAGUGAAAUUAUUUACGUUGCGAUACUAAUAACCAUAUUAUGCAUAAACUUCCAAAAUAGGAUAUUAAAUUCAGACUUAAUAAUAGUGCAACGAUUAAGUGACUUCAACUCACAGGUUUUAGGCGACGUCCUAGCUCUGCUCCAGCGCCUCAGUUGGAGCGAGCCGAACAGACAAACCAUCUAAUCACGGAAAAUAAUUUAUCAAUUAUGUUGAACAAUUACAAUUGACCCUAGGUCUAGAUUCCUAGGACUCACUGUCUAAGAAUCUCGACUCGGGAGAAUUCUACCGAAAAUCUGGCAGAACCUCCCCUACAACACGGACAUUACCCCCCAUAAAACGGGUCCAGGACCUGCCAGAAAAAUACUUCAAAUAUCCAACAAUUCCAACAACGGGAGUCAGGUCCCCAAACUUCACUAUUUUCCCGACUCCGCCAUACAAUACAAAACACGAGGCAGACAAACUGAUAGAGAAUUAUUUUUGACUCACAAAUAUCAUCAAAUACUCAACACAAUCAAUAGACACAAAUUAAAUCAAAGAAUUCUAAAAUUAACGGGCCAGAGAUAAUUACCGAGACGCCUGGUCGACUCGCCUCCAGCCGCCAGAAUUCGAUUGACGAUCCGAACACAUCAUCGAACUCACAACGACGUGCUAAUGAUGAUCCCCGCUUCCGGUUUUCCGAUCCAACACCCGAUAGUCAAGAGAGAUUUUCGGACGAUGACGGCCGUCGAUUCGCAAACAAAGCCCGAUCGCCACGAAACCGGUGCCAUUGCGAAGCUUGAGCUGAGGAGAGUCGGGAUACGUCCUCUGAUCGUCCAUCCCCCACCGGAGCUCGUCGAAAAAGCCAAAAAAUACGGGUGCCUCCACUUUGCCGGAACUCUCUCCUCCGGCCAUCAAAACCGACGCCGCCACCACCAAAAUGAAGCUCUCUUCGAGGGGAGCCGAUCGCCACCAAGAUCGGCCGGAAAGGACCGGAAUGGCCUUUGAAAACCGCUGCCCCUUUUUUUUUUCCCCUCGCUGCUAACGCAGCUGCCGCCGCUGCUGGACUCGCCGGCGCCAGCAGCGCCCUCGGCUGGCCUCGUCACGCGCCCCGAUGGACGAUGCCGCCGCCUUUUCCUUCCUUUUCACGACGUCUCCCUCUCUCUCCCCGCUUCUCUCUCCCUUUUCUUCUUUCAAUAUUGACAUUUGACCCCUGAACUUUUCCUUAUCACAAUUUGGUCCCUCAACUUUCUUAAUUACUUACAAUUUCAUCCUGCAGAAUUCCAAUUUAACCUCUAAACUUCUUUUUAACCUUUCAAUUUAGCCCCUAACUAUUCAAUUUGAGCCAAAUUAGAAUUAUUGAAAAUACACAAUUACAUAAAUACCCCUGACCGACAUAUUUAUUUACAAAAAUACCAAACUCACAAAUUUUUAUUAAAACCCCAUAAAAAUAAAAUUAUCCUUUUAAUCCUUAUUCCAAAAUAAAUUUUUAAUUUAGUCCUAACACACAAUUAAUUUAAAUAAUAAAUUUCCAACUUAAAAUUUAAUACCACUAAUCAAUUAAAAUACCAAUUUUCCCAAAAUUCUUUUAUAAAAACAUCCUUUACAAUUUCUUCCAAAAUUUUCCAAUAUAUAUAAUUUUAUUUAUACAUAUACAUUUACAUAUACAUUGGAGAAAAAUUAGAAUAACCAAAAAUAUAUUCUACCCUUCAAAUAAUUUACUUAAUUAAUUAUUAAAAUUUCAACUAAUUGGGUAUAGAAUAAUAAUUCAUUUAAUUGACUAAUAUUAAAAUUUUCAUUAAAUCAUUUCAAAUUAAACCAAAUAAAAAUAAAAUAAAAUUAAUUAAAUAAAUAAAUACUCAUUAUUAAAUAUAUAAAAAUUCCGGAUAUUACAUUCUCCCCCCCUUAACAAAAAUUCGUCCUCGAAUUUUAAAAGAAAAGGGGCUUUAGUCAAGACUGAAACUAAAGAAAAUAGGAAUCUCUCAUAUCCAAUUCAGCUUCUCGGGAACUUUCCUCGGUAGAAAUAAACUCAACCACAAGACUCAUCGACAAAACCCUUUAGCAAAACUAGCGAUCCUGAUUUACGGCUCCUUGAAAACCAAAUCUUUACUUACAUCCACACACUGAGGAUCCAACACGAACAAAAGAUCGAAAAUACAGUUCUCAACGAAGACCUACAGAUACUGAAUUGACCUCCGAGAACAUUACUUGGCAGCAAGUCCAACUUACAUGCCACCUCACCAACCUGCCGACAAAACCAAGGGUCUCCAUAAUAAGAAAGGCCAACUCUGAUCCUGCCAAAAAUCCACUCACCAACUUCCUUCCUAAUGACAUGUCCUUACACGUGCAGAAAAAUCCUUAACAUCCACGUCACAUCAUCAUUGACAUAACAUCCAUCUGAUCGCAUCAACCGACACAACCCAUGCCAUCCUGACACAAGAUUCCUCCUUGACUGAAAUCCAAAAGCCUCCUUUAUAAUCAAACAUGGGGCCUACUACUCUACAGAGUCAUUCUCACAGCAACUCAGCUCGUCAUCCAGAGAAUUCUCAAGCUAACACCAUUCACUUGAAAAAUUUACUUAUUUAUUUACUUUAUAAUUAUCACAGAUAAAAGCUUUAUUAUCUUGGAAAAACACUUUUGUAAAAUCAUAAAAUCUCUAGCCAUUUUUUUCUUUAUAUAAAAUUCUACAAACUCGCACACCAGGGUGAUGAUGUCCCCAAUCACCAAGGGUUGCAAUGCAUGAUGUAUGAUGCAUGCCCUAAAAUGAAUUUGUGGAUGCCUAAUAGUGAAAUGCCAUAAUGCACUCUUAUGGGAUUGGGUGCAAUAUUGUAUUUUAAAACACUUGUUCUACUUAGAAAAAGAAAUAGUGUUCACUUAAGUUUCUCUGGAUUUCCGAGCAUCCGAAAAUACUCCUGCCACCUUUCUUAAGCUUCUUACAAUCACAAACUCAACCAUAAAACUCUAACAUCCACUCGACUUCCUAGGCACUAACGUCGGCGCUACUCAAUAAGGCGAUGCCUGAUGCGAUGACGAGGCAGUCCAUGACACGACUGCAACCACGCUCUAUACUAAAACUGACUGCGGUGCCCACCAUCGAAACAACAAUCAAAGUUUCUAAAGGCGGACUACACUAAUCACUUGAUGAAAACGACACGAGUCUACCGCGCUUCGAAUCUUCCCAUCGCUACAAAGCUCAUUCUCAGCACAGCAUCAAAGACAAGCUCACGGAAAAAAAAUGACAGACUCUCUAAUAGAGAAGGCUGAGACACUAGAGUCAAUGAAAACAACAAGACAUACUUGACCCUAGCUCCGCAGUACCAAGAAAAAUAUUAACUUAGGUUGAAGGAAAUCUAAACCUAAGCUCUGAUACCAACUUUGUCACGACCCAUUAUGUGGACCCGUGACCGGCACUAGGGAAUGGGUAGGCUUAAGGCCACCGAAUCCCGUAGUAAGCCUGAAACUCACUAACUCAAUCAAAUCUCAUCUCAAAUUAAUAUUAUUAAAGCCAUAAAUUAUCUUAAUAGUUACAUUUUACAUAAUUACUUUGGUCUGGCAGAAAAAUUAGGCGAGACCCGAAACUCAUAAAAUUUACAACUGAUACCUCUACUAUUGCAACUGUGGAGAAUCUAAGAUUUUUACAAUUUGACAUACCAAAUCAAACACUACCCGAUGAUGAAGAAGUCGGGUUACUGAGUAAGAGUCGCGGGAAGACUAACAAUCACGAAUCUGAAAAAACAGUAAAUGGAGACUGUCAGUCUCGAGAGUGAGUUAAAAUCAGACAAUCUAGAGACUAUUGCAGUCUUCACAGAAAAUAUUAAUCAUUCGAAUCAGUAUAUCAAACCAUGCACGUAAAUACAACUCAUAUUAUAAUCAUACCAAAUAAAUAAAUAAAUAAAAUAUAUUUUUAUUUUUAUGGGACGAGUGGCUCAGUAGAACCUUAACCCCAAAUUCUAGUAGCCUUUUGGCUCUCUUGAUCCAAUAAUACUAGCGCCCAGAGAGCAAUGCUCGACUAGGGACCUUUACUCCGGCAUCUCAUUCCAAUAGGACUGGCGCCCAGAGAGCGAAGCUCGACCAGGGUCCUUAACUCCAGUCCGGUCACUUAAUAUUCAAAUAAGCCGGCGCCUAGAGAGUAAUGCUCGACUAGGGACCUUUACUCCGGCAUCUCAUUCCACUAGGACUGGCGCCCAGAGAGCAAUCAUCACAUUUAAUAAAUAUCAUGGUCUAAUGAAAUCAUUCAACACAUUAUCAAAAUAAAGAUUAAAAAUUUAGGGCAAAGCAACAUGCAAUUCGUGUGGAAAAAUAAUAAUAUUUGUAUUAUUAUAACAUUACUAAUAAUAAUAUUUAUAUUAUUUUCAAUAAUUAAUAAUCAAGUGAAAUUAUUUACGUUGCGAUACUAAUAACCAUAUUAUGCAUAAACUUCCAAAAUAGCAUAUUAAAUUCAGACUUAGCAAUAGUGCAACGAUUAAGUGACUUCAACUCACAGGUUUUAGGCGACCUCCUAGCUCUGCUCCGGUGCCUCAAUUGGAGCGAGCCGAACAGACAGAUCAUCUAAUCACAUAAAAUAAUUUAUCAAUUAUGUUGAACAAUUACAAUUGACCCUAGGUCUAGAUUCCUAGGACUGACUGUCUAAGAAUCUCGACUCGGGAGAAUUCUACCGAAAAUCAGGCAGAACCUCCCCUACAACACGGACAUUACCCCCAUAAAAUGGGUCUAGGACCUGGCAAAAAAAUACUUCAAAUAUCCAACAAUUCCAACAACGAGAGUCGGGUCCCCAAACUUCACUAUUUUCCCGACUCCGCCACACAAUACAAAACACGAGGCAGGCAAACUGACAGAGAAUUAUUUUUGACUCACAAAUAUCAUCAAAUACUCAACACAAAUUAAAUCAAAGAAUUCUAAAAUUAACGGGCCAGAGAUAAUUACCGAGACGCUCGGUCGACUCGCCUCCAACCGCCGGAAUCCAAUCGACGAUCCGAACACAUCAUCGGACUCACAACGAUGAGCCGAUGAUGAUCCCUGCUUCCGAUUUUCCGAUCCGACACCCGAUCGUCUAGAGAGAUUUUCAGACGAUCACUGCCGUCGAUUCGCAAACGAAGCCCGAUCGCCACGAAAUCGGUGCCAUUGCGAAGCUUGAGCUGAGGAGAGUCAGGAUACGUCCUUCGAUCGUCCAUCCUCCGCCGGAGCUUGCCGGAAAAGCCAAAAAAUGAAGCUGCCACUGCCAAAAUGAAGCUCUCUUCGAGGGUAGCCGAUCGCCACCAAGAUCGGCCUGAAAGGACCGGAAUGGCCUUCGAAAACCGCUGCCCCUCUUUGUUUUUCCCUCGCUGUCGCCGCUGCUGGACUAGCCGGCGCCAGCAGCGCCCUCGGCCGGCCUCCCCGCGCGCUCCGAUUGACGACGCCGCCUCCUUUUCCUUCCUCUUCACGACGUCUCCCUCUCUCUCCCCGCUUUUCUCUCCCUUUUCUUCUUUGAAUAUCGACAUUUGACCCUGAACUUUUUCUUAUCACAAUUUGAUCCCUCAACUUUCUUAAUUACUUACAAUUUCAUCCUACAGAAUUCCAAUUUAACCUCUAAACUUCUUUUUAGCCUUUCAAUUUAGCCUCUAACUAUUCAAUUUGAGCCAAAUUAGAAUUAUUGAAAAUACACAAUUACAUAAAUACCCCUGACCGACAUAUUUAUUUAUAAAAAUACCAAACUCAUAAAUUUUCAUUAAAACCCUAUAAAAAUAAAAUUAUCCUUUUAAUCCUUAUUCCAAAAUAAAUUUUCAAUUUAGUCCUAACACACAAUUAAUUUAAAUAAUAAAUUUUCAACUUAAAAUUUAAUACCACUAAUCAAUUAAAAUACCAAUUUUCCCAAAAUUCUUUUAUUAAACCAUCCUUUACAUUUUCUUCCAAAAUUUUUCAAUAUAUAUAAUUUUAUUUAUACAUAUACAUAUACAUAUACAUUGGGGAAAAAUUAGAAUAACCAAAAAUAUAUUCUACCCUUCAAAUAAUUUACUUAAUUAAUUCUUAAAAUUUCAACUAAUUGGAUAUAGAAUAAUAAUUCAUUUAAUUGACUAAUAUUAAAAUUUCCAUUAAAUCAUUUCAAAUUAAACCAAAUAAAAAUAAAAUAAAAUUAAUUAAAUAAAUAAAUACUCAUUAUUAAAUAUAUAAAAAUUCCGGAUAUUACACGUGCCAUACUUUAGAAAGAAAAUAUAUCUUAAGACUUAUCAAACGAGUGGCUCAGCAUAACCAUAAUCUCAAAUGUUGGUAGCCUUUCGACUCUUUUAUUUUAAUAGUUUUGCCACCUAGAGAGCGAAGCUCAACCAGGGUCUUUACAUCCAUCUUGGACACUUGAUUCCUAAUUAAGCCAGCGCCUAGAGAGCAUUGCUCGACCAAAGACCUUUCUCUAGUAUUCAAGCUUUCACAGCCACGAGAGUUAUAUUCGACCAGGGCAAAAUCCAAAAAUAAUCUUUGUUACCUGCCUCUGAUUAUUAUUAGUGCGCAUGAGGUCCUAAUAUAACCCAUGAGGUGACAUAUUCUACUAUCGCCACAUCCCAAUAUCACAAUCACAACAUUUAUAAUAAUCAUAAAUAGAAUAAUCAUAGGCCAACAUAAACUAUUCAAUAACAUACUGAGAAAUAAAAAUUUAGAAAUUUCAGAAAUAGCAAACAUGCAAAUUAUGAGUAGUAAUAAAAGUACUAGUAUUAAAAUAAUAUUAAUUAACAUAUUAGAAAUAAUGAAAUUAAUUUACUAAUAAUAAUAAUAAUAAUACUAUUCGUAAAAAUUAUCAAUUAAACAAAAUUACUUAUAAUAACGAUAAUGAUAAUCAUAUUAAAUAUUAAUCAUUAAUCAUUAAAUAUCACAUUAAAUUUAGACAUGCCAAUGGUACAGUGAUUAUAUGACUUUAACUCACAAUUCUGUCGCGUUUUGCAGUUCGCUACUACACCUCGGGUGGAGCUGGCUAGAUGGACGGAUUAUCUAUUUACGAAAAUACUCAGUUAAUAAAUAUUCUUAAAUUUCCCUAGGCAUAGACCUCUAGAUUAGACUACCUAAAAAUAUUUUAGACUUGAGAAUUCUGUUGAAUCUGACAGAACCUUCUCUAAUUUAUGGAUAUUUACCCUCCGUCCAACGGGUCGAGAACUUGUUAGAAACACUUCAAAUAUUCUGAAAUCAACCAACGGGAGUCAGGCCACUAAAACUACAUUAUUUUUUCCGACUCUGCAACACACCAUAGAUCACAAUUAAUUAAAUCCAAUUAAAUUUAAAUUAUCUAUAGUUGAUAAUUAAUGGCAACAAUAUUUUUCUAAAAUUAUAAAAUAACUUUUGAGGUCCAAAUAAAAUUAUACGAGCAAAAAUUUAAAAUCUCGUGCUUCCGAAAAACACCGAGGUCUGAAAGCCGGUCCUACCAAUAAUGUCAGAAUUCAAAUCCAGAAGCGCCUACGCGAAGCUUGAGUUACGGGGAGUCUGAAAAUAAAAGAGUUCCGGCUGGAAACUCGCCGAAGGGCACUGACUCAGGGUCAGAAAGUCUAGGCUCCGACGAGGACGAACAAGCUGUCGGCGAUGAAAAUUGCAACUAGAAAGGUCUGCUCAAGGGUUUCCAGUCGCGGGGAGCUCGAUUUCGGCGCCGGAUGAGCUGUUGGAGGAUGGUAGCAGUUGCUUCGGCGGGAGGGAGGCUUUUUCCUCCUCGAUCGAUGGCGGUAGCGGGAAAAGGAGAAGGGGAAGAUGGCACAGCGACGAGGAGGGGAAGAAGAGAAGCUAGGCUGUAAUACCCAGAAUUUUCAUUUAAUAAUAUUAAUAUUAAUAAUGAUUAAUAAAUAAAAUUUUAUUUAAAUUAAUUUUAGCUUUAUUUUUUAUUUUUUUAUUCUGUUUAAUUAGAAUGAUUUAAAUGCAAUUUUAAAUUUUAAUAUUAGACAAAUAAAGGAGUUAUUUUCUAUAUCCAAUUAGUUUGAUUUUUUUAAAGAAAUUAAUUAAGUAAAUUAUUUGAGAAAUAAAUUAUAUUUUUGGUUAUUCAAAUUUUCUCCAAAUGCAUAUAUAUAAAUAAAAUUAUAUAUGGAAAAAUUAUGGAAGAAUUUGUAAAGGAUGUUUUUAUAAAAGAAUUUUUGGGGAAAUUGGUGUUUUAAUUAGCUAGUGGUAUUAAAUUUUAAGUUGGAAAAUAGUUAGCAAAUUGAUUAAUUAAAUCAAUUGUGUUAGGACUAAAUUGGAAAUUUAUUUUGGGAUGAGGGUUAAAAUUAUAAUUUUAUUAUUAUGGGAUUUUAAUGAAAAUUUGUGUGUUUGGUAUUUUUAUAAUUAAAUAUGUCAGCAAGGGCUUUUGAUAAUUUUACAUUUGAAAGCAAGGGUAUAUAUGUAAUUGUAUAUUUUCUAUAAUUCUAAUUUGGUCCAAAUUAAAUAGUUAGGGGCUUAAUUGAAAAGCUAAAGAAAAAUUUAAAGGCUAAUUAGAAAUUUUACAGGGCCAAAUCGCUGUAAUUAAAAAAAAUUGAGGGACUAAAAGGUAAGAAAGAAAAUUUCAGGGACCAAAAGUCGAUAUGAAGAAGAAGAAAAGAGGAAUCAGGGAGAGAGAGAGGGAAACCAGAAGAAGAAGAAGCCAAGGCGCUGCGUCGUCCGAGUGGCUCGCGCUGGCGGACGUGGCAGUAGCUGGCAGCGUCGGCAGGCGGCGAAAAGCGCGAGGAAGAGGCAGUGGCUUCCGAGCACUUUUCCAGCGGCCUUGUUGGCUGUUUCCGGUGGCGAUCGGCUCCCCUCAGCAAGGGCUCUCUUUUGGCAGCAGCGGCGAUGCCUGUGGUGGCCGGAGACGGAAGAUCCGGUGGAGAGAGAAAGUAGGAGGCAUCCGGCUUUUUUUGAUUUUUCCGGCAAGCUUCCGUAGGGGAUGGUUGAUCGGAGGACGUAUCCCGACUCUCCUCAGCUCAAACUUCGCAAUUGUACCGGUUUCGUGACGAUCGAACUCCGUUUGUAAAUCGACGACUGAGAUCGUCUGCAAAUCUCUCCAAAUGAUCGGGGGACGAAUCCGAAAAUCGGAAGCAGGGAUCGUCAUCGACGCGUCAUUUCGAGUCUGUUGGUGUGUUCGGAUCGUCGAUCGGACUCCAGCGGUUAGGGGCGACCGAGCGAUAAAACGUCUCGGUAAUUUUCUCUGGCCUAUUGAUUUUGGAAAUUCUUUGGUAUAAUUAUGUGUCUAUUAAAUGGUGUUGUGUAUUAGACAAUAUUUGUGUGUUAAAAUAAUUGUUUGUUGGACUGCCUGCCAGAGUCGUGACUUAUGUUGUGUGGGGAGUUGGAAAAAAUAGUGAAGUCUGGGGACCCGACUCCCGUUGUAUUGAAUUGUUGAAUAUUUGAAGUGUUUUUCUGGCAGGCAGGUCCUGGACCCGUUUUAUGGGGGUAAAUGUCCGUGUUUUAGGGGAGGUUCUGAAGGAUUUUCGGUAGAAUUCUUUUGAGUCGAGAUUCUUAGACAAUCAGUCCUAGGAGUCUAGACCUAGGAUUAAAUUGUCAAGUAUUUCAACGUUAUUGAUAAAUUAUUUUCCGUGAUUAGAUAAUCCGUCUGUUCGGCUCGCUACAACCGAGGCACCGGAGCAGAGCUAGGAGGUCGUCAAAGCUGUGAGUUAAAGUAAUAUGUCUGCUUACGCGUGUCAUGCAUAAAUUUUUUGAUUUGCUAUUGUAAUUAAUUUAGUGCAAGUUUAAUUAUUCAUUUAAUUAUUAUUCAUGUAUGUUCUUCCUUUAUCAUUGCAUGAUGACUCGGGAUGAGACGGCAGUAGAACAUAUGAGUUUGAUGAGUGUACCGGUAUAAAUCCAUGAGUGAUGGAAAAAGGAAAAAUGGGUAAAUUUAAAAAGGAAAGACUAGGACUUACCCUGGUCGAGCAUCGCUCUCUGGGCUUAGUAGAGUGUGUUUGCCGGAGUAAAGGUCACUGGUCGAGCAUUGCUCUCUAGGCGCCGGCUUAUUUGGAAACCUAAGUGACCAGACUGGAGAUAAGGUCUCUAGUCGAGCUUCGCUCUUUGCGCGCCAGUCUUAUUGGGAUAAGAGAGCUGAAAGGCUAUGACUGUCAAUGAUAAUUAAGUGACCGAACUAGAGUUAAGGACUCUAGUCGAGCUUCGCUCUCUGGGCGCCAUUUUUAUUGGAAUGAGAUUAGUCGAGAGGGUAGAAUUGAGGUUAGUCGAGAUGUCAGUGUUGAGAUUGGUCGAGAGGUCAGUGUCGGGAUUAGGGUUCUACUGAAGUAAUCCAUCCCGUAGUGUGUGAAAUAUUAUUUUAUUUAAUUUAAGCAUGACAUGAUACGUUUAUUUUUGCAUGACUUAGUAUUUAUUUCAAAUUAAAUAAAUGUGUUAUUGAAGUGUUUACAACUAUUUUUCUUUGGAUAUAUGAUUUUAACUCACUCUCGAGACUGACAGUCUCAAUUUUACUGUUUUUCAGAUCUGUGAUUGUUAGUCUUCCUGUGAUUCUCAUCUAGUAACCCGACUCCUUUAUCAUCGGGUGAUGUAAUUUAUUUGGUAUGUUAACUUGUAAAAUCUUAGAUUCUCCGCAAUAGAAUUAAUAGUGUUAUAUGUUGUAAUCCUUUGUGGUUUUGGGUCUCGCCUAAUUCUUCUGGCAGACCGAAUUAAUUGUGUAAAAUUUAAUAGUUACAAUAAAUUGUGGCAUCAAUAAUAUUAAAUGAGAUGAUAUUUAUUUAAGUUAGUGAGUAUCAGACUUACUAUAGGAUUCGGUAGCCUUACGCCUACCCAUUCUUUAGUGCCAGUCACAGCCCACAGAUGGGGUCGUGACAUGGGCGACGGCGGCCUGUUCAGUGCGCAGGCAGAAAGGGGGGGAAGCAAUUGACAUCGGGGAGAAAAAUAAGGAGGGAAAGAGGAGAAGAGGGAAGGAAAGGGGGGAGAAGGAAAAAGAGAGAAAGAGAAAAAAAUAAUAUUAUUAUUAUUUAUUUUAUUUUAUUUUUAGUAUUACAUUCUAUCCCCUUUAGAAAAAAAUUCGACCUCGAAUUUUAAAAGAAACACGGCUUACCUCAGGACUGGAACAAACGAGGGUAAACACUCCUCAUUUCUUGUUUAGUUUCCCAAGUACACUCUUCUGACGAAUGGUUCCGCCACAACACUUUAACCAUCGAUAUAAUCUUAAAAUGCAGUUGGUGAACUUGCGUAUCCACAAGCCUAACCGGCUGCUCCUUAUAAGUCAAAUAUUCACUUACUUCCACAUAUUGAGGUUGCAACACAUGUGAAGAGUCUGAAAUAUACUUCCUUAACAUUGAUUUAUGAAAUACUUGAUGCACAUGCAAGAAAUUUGGCAGCAAGUCCAGUUUAUAUGCCACCUCUCCAAUCUUGUUUAUAAUCUUAAAGGGUCUCACAAUAUCGAGGGGAAAUUUGCCUUUCUUGCCAAAACAUAUCACACCACGCAUAGGGGACACCUUCAAAAACACAUAUUCCCCAACACUGAAAUCCACGUGCUUCCACUUCGGGCUCGCAUAACUUUUUUGCCUAUUGAAAGCUGUCUUCAGCCGCUUGCAGAUAAUAGAAAUUUUUUCUGAAGUGAUAUGAACUAACUCUAGUCUUGCUAACUUCCGUUCGCUAACCUCUUCCCAACACAUAAGAGAUCUGCGCUUUCGGCCAUACAAUGCCUCAUAGAGGGCCAUCUUGAUGCUUGCAUAAUCAACGGUAAGUAUCAAUUUCACUGACCACUAAAAUUUAUCACGCACAUCCGAAACAUAUCCUCUAAAGUCUGAAUUGUCCUCUCCGAUUGUUCAUCAGUCUGAGGGUGAAAAGCUAUACUGAAGUCCAAUCUGGUACCAAGUUCUUCUUGUAGCUUCCUCCAAAAUCUCGAAGUGAACUACAGUCCUCUGUCAGACACUAUGGAAAUAGAAACGCCGUGAAGACUGACAAUUCUUUCCAGAUACACUCAUGCAUACUUAGCCACAUAAUAGAUAGUCUUCACCGGAAGGAAGUGCGCUGACUUAGUCAAACGGUCCAUAAUUACCUAAAUAAAAUCAUAACCAGUCGAAGUCUUGGGUAAACCCGAAACAAAAUCCAUAAUAAUCUUUUAAUAUUUCCACUAUAGGAUAAAAAUGGUUGCAAUAACCCUGACAGCUUAUGAUGCUCCAAUUUAUCCUAUUGACACGUCAAACACUUGGAGACAAACUCUCCCACAUCCCUCCUCAUUUCACUCCAUCAAUAAUUUUUCAAAUCAUGAUACAUUUUGGUGGAGCCCGAAUACAUGCUGUAAGCUGUACAAUGAGCCUCUUCUAAAAUCUCCUUUAUGAGAUUACUAAAUAAUAAUGAGAAAUUGAUUAUAAUAUCCAAAAUUAGCUUAAUGACUAAUAAUUUUUCUAAUCUAUUUUAUUUUCGUAUAUAUAUAUAUUUUCAUUCAUAGCUCAUACUAAAUAAUUAAAUACUAAAUUUAAUAAAAAUUAACAAGGUUUUAAUUAUUUCUUCCAAUGACUCUUUAAAAAUAAAAUUCUAAAUUUGCAUAUAUUCUAAUGUGAAAAUUAAAAUAAUUAAUAAAUAAGCGUUUAUACAUUUUCUUUGACUUUUACCAAAAGCUAAUAAAAGUAUGUCAUUUAAUAGGAUUUACAAGAUAUUAUUAAAAAAUAUAUCAAAUACCAAACCAUUUAAGUUAAGAUAUCAAAACUACAUAGUUGCCAACAUAUGACACCAGUCUGAAAUAUUUAAGACAUUAAGAUAGAGGCAAUAUACACUAUUAAAGUGAAGUGAGUACUAGAAUUAUUAAUAAUAAUGAUAAAUGAUUACAAUACCAAAAAUAAGCUUAAUGGCUAAUUAGUUUUCUAAUCUAUUUUAUGUAUCAUUUCUUUAUUGUUUUAGCUAAAUAAUUAAAUAUUAAAUCAGUAAAAAUAACAAGGUCUUAAUUAUUUUUCUAAUGACUCUUUAACAGUAAAAUUUAAAAAAUUGUAUUAUUUUAGUGCCAAAAUUAAAAAAAAUAAAAAUAAAAAUCUAUGCAAUUUUUUGACUUUUUUUUUUUUUUUAUCAAAGACGAAUAAAAGCAUGUGCAAUAGGAUUUACAAGAUAUUAUCAUAGAAAUACUAAAACACCAAAACAAUAUCAUAGAAAUACUAAAACACCAAAACAUAUAAAUUAGGACACCAAGACUAUAGUAGUCAAUUAUGAGACCAAUAUAGAAUACCAAAACAUAUAAAUUAGGACACCAAGACUAUAGUAGUCAAUUAUGAGACCAAUAUAGAAUAUUUAGGACAUUGAGAUAGAUGCAAUCUGAUGCUAGUAAAGUGAAGUCAGAACCGAAAUUACUAAUAAUAAUAAAAAUUUAAUUAUAAUAUCAAAUUAGNNNNNNNNNNNNNNNNNNNNNNNNNNNNNNNNNNNNNNNNNNNNNNNNNNNNNNNNNNNNNNNNNNNNNNNNNNNNNNNNNNNNNNNNNNNNNNNNNNNNNNNNNNUUUUAUAUUUCUUAUUCAUAGUUUAUAAAUAAUUAAAUACUAUUUUUCUAAUGACUCUUUAAUAAUAAGUUUUUAAAAUUGUAUUUUAUAUUCAAUUUCCUUUGAACUAUAAAUGCAUGUGUCAAUCUGUUAGAAAAUUUAAGCCAACUUAUUCCAGACAAGCAGUAUAAAAUUUGAAACCACUUAUCUUAACUUUUCAUCAUUGUGUUAAUUAAAAAAAAAAAACCCUCUCAUGAAAUUUCUAAUCUGUCGCUGUCACAUUAUACUUGUAAUUGAAAUUAAAUAAGUAUUGUAUCUAUAAUCUUUUAAUAGUCUUAAUCUAAUUAAGAUUAAGUAUGUUAGUUACAUCUUAUUAAUAAUAUUGUAAAAAUGGAAUAUCGUUAAUAGUUUUUCGAAAUUCUGGUUUAGUGUAAAAUAUAUAUUUUAAAAAAUAUAAUAUAAGAAGAAUUUUGUAUGAGUUAUAAUAUGUAUCUAUAAAUUAAACGAAAUAAUUAACAAACAAUUAGAUUUAAAAUGUAUCUUUAUAAAUUAUACUUUAAUUUGUAUUUUUAUAAGAUAUACUUUCUAUAAAUAACUGUAAUUUUGUUACAAACAAAUGGCUAAUAACCAAGACAUUGUUAAUUUUUAUUAGAAUAGCACUAUAAUUGUUUAAUAUAAAUUAUAUAAAAAAAAACACAAAAUAGAUUGAAAAGUAAUCCGUAAUCCGUAUUCAAAAAAAAAAAAAAAAUGGGUAUUAGAAAUUAACUUUUAUAUUUUAGUGUCUCCACUUGUCUAUGUAUUGUUGCUACACUAACCUGGUGUUUUUAGCUUCUCAGUUGUAUAAAUUAAGCCUUCUUAUUUUGAGCCUAUUUCUUUUUGUUUAAUUUCGAAAUAUCUAAACAAAUUUUAGCUUUUUGUUUUGGAAAUGAUAAACGUAAUACAACAUUUGACAUGUUGAUAAAUGUAAAGAAAAAUAAAUAUAACCAGUUGAAUAGAUUACCAGAUCACUAAUGACUGAGAUUUCUUAAAUAAAAUAAACGGCUGAGAUUAUAUUAUACCUGCCUAUAAAAUAGAACUGAAAUUGCAAUGGUACCAAUACAUUACCCGCCUAUAAAAUAGAUAACUCAUAUAGAUAUAUGGAUGGUUAAGACUGCAUUGUACCGGUGAGUUUAAUAUAUGUUUUGAUGGAGCAGAAGAUGAGAGAAAAACACGACAAAAAGAAAGGAGAAAGAAAAAACUGAAAUUUAACCAUGCACGUGAAAGCUACAAAGGACUAAUGUCCUCAAACGGGUCAACUUGAUGGGAUAUAACCCCGCUUCCUAUUCCAGGCCUAUUACAUCAACUUUUAGACAUGUCUUAUUCUUUAUUUUCUUAUUACCCAUAUAUUUACUACACACAGUCGUACACAUAAUUUACUCUGCAAAGUACAUUCACUCGUUCAUUUAAUUUAGGGCUUCUCUUCACUUCUCUUAUUGUAGACACUUUCUACAACCGAUACCUCUUCCAUGAUGUCCACCAUCUCCACCCCAUCCACCUUGUUUGUCAUCAUUCACCAUGUUUGAUUCUUCUUCUUCUUUACGUGCAUAUUGUAUUAAGACAUAAAGCAUUUGAGUACCCAACAAACAAAGGAACUAUAAAAAUAAAAAUAAUUAGGACUAGUCAGAUAUGAUUAAAGGUACUGACCAUUUCCAGAGAUGUGUUGAUUUUGCAGGAGGGCAGCUUCUUGAGCACUCGAGCAAAACUUCACACAAGCAAAAGGAGGUACCGGCAUCACCAAGCAACAACGUGCAUUUGACAUUGUUUCAACUGCUGGAACUACUGCACAACCACC